rnacentral:sRNA from 1 species
GGGUAAGGUACAAAGACUAAGAACGCCACAUCGUGUCGCAACGUCUUUGUGUCCAACAUCCUGUUGC